AGUGAACGCUGGCGGUAGGCCUAACACAUGCAAGUCGAACGGCAGCACAGUAAGAGCUUGCUCUUACGGGUGGCGAGUGGCGGACGGGUGAGGAAUACAUCGGAAUCUACUUUUUCGUGGGGGAUAACGUAGGGAAACUUACGCUAAUACCGCAUACGACCUACGGGUGAAAGCAGGGGAUCUUCGGACCUUGCGCGAUUGAAUGAGCCGAUGUCGGAUUAGCUAGUUGGCGGGGUAAAGGCCCACCAAGGCGACGAUCCGUAGCUGGUCUGAGAGGAUGAUCGGCCACACUGGAACUGAGACACGGUCCAGACUCCUACGGGAGGCAGCAGUGGGGAAUAUUGGGCAAAGGGCGCAAGCCUGAUCCAGCCAUACCGCGUGGGUGAAGAAGGCCUUCGGGUUGUAAAGCCCUUUUGUUGGGAAAGAAAAGCAGCAGGUUAAUACCCAGCUGUUCUGACGGUACCCAAAGAAUAAGCACCGGCUAACUUCGUG
rnacentral:rRNA from 1 species